AGACAUCGAAGGAUCCCCUAUUGAAGAAUCUCUAGUGAGUGAGAGCUACCUUUUUAAGUUUCCUAAGAAGAUCCCAUCCUCAAAGAGUUGCAGAACUCUAGGUCAGUAGGAGACUGACUCUAUCUAUUUACUUCAGUUCAGAGACUUGCAAUAAUAGAUUGGUACUAGAAAAAGAAUAUAUUCUAUUUUCAUAGGAAAGAGAAAAUGGUGAGGAUGAGAGUAUAAAAUAGCCCCAC
rnacentral:lncRNA from 1 species